UUUAACCAGCACAGCCAAGACUCUGCAGCUGGGAGAGGAGCCCCAGGCCCGGGAUACACAGGUGUUCCAGUCAGUACUCAGGACAGAACACAGACAACUCACUAUGGAGUCUGUGCUUGGUUGGGUUUUCCUUGUUGCUCUAUUAAAGGUGUCCAGAGUGAAGUGCAGUUGGUGGAGUCUAGGGGAGAACUGGUGAAGCCUGGGUGGUCACUGAGACUCUCCUUUGCAGCCUCUGGAUUCACCUUCAGUAGCUAUGCCAUGCGCUGGGUCCGCCAGGCUCCAGGGAAGGGCUUGCAGUGGGUCACAAGUAUUAGCUAUGAGGGAAGUAUCAGAUACUACGCAGACUCUGUGAAGGGCCGAUUCACCAUCUCCAGAGACAACGGCAAGAACACUCUGUAUCUGCAGAUGAACAGCUUGAGAGCCAAGGACACAGCCCUGUAUUAUUGUGAGAAGGACACUGAGGGGCGCUCAGUGUGA